GGGAGUCACGAAUUCUGGGGUCUCAUAACUGGAGGGGCCGUUGGGCUCAUCAGAAUCUGGUCCAUCCCCGCAGACUCUCACACUAGCCGCCUGUUUACUCCCGCAGCCAGUCAGCAACAGUAUGCAAGCUCUAAUUGAAUGCUUCCUGUGUGCUGGGCUAAAUGAUGAGGACACGAAGGGAAGCGGGAGUUGUCCGGUGGAUGCCCAGAGGGCUUGCUAACCUUAGGGAUUCAGAAGAUGCUGGAGGACCAGGACGAAAGUGGGCACCGGCCAGGCAGGAGAGGUCGAGGGCGGAAGAGCUUGCUUCGGUUUAGUUUUUUUUUUUUUUUGAAAGCUAUGUUGGGAAAAAGCUGGUUGAGUGAUUGUUGUACUUCGUACACAACGAGAACCAAUGUCAGGAGGCUCCCAAAUGUUGAGGCAGUUCUGGCAACGUGUGCAUCAUCCUCAUUAUCUGUUUUACAUCAAUGGAAAGUAUACUGCCAAGGGAGAGAAUCACCAUAUCGUGAAUGGCCAAUCAGUGCAAAAACACUACAUACUGAUGUUGGUACCAGUAGAAACCAAGAAAGGCCCCUCCAAGCUUCUCAUCUAUAGCACAUCCAGCCUGAUCUCUGGGGUCCCUGUUUGGUUCAGUGGCAAUGGGUCUGGCCAGAUUUUUUUCCUCAUAAUCAGCAGUUUGGAAGUUAAAGAUGUUGCAGUCUACUACUGUCAACCACGGGUGACUCCCCUCCUGUAGUGUUCCAUCAUGGUACACAAAUCUCCCUGGGCAGUUUCAGCUGCUUAGGGGAGUACCUGCUUUCUCUGGAAUCCCCCAGGGAAGAGAAGCCACUGAUCUCUGUGCUGUACUGAGGUCAGCUGGAAACCCCUCAUCCCACAAUGCCCCAGGAAGCACAUUAUUGAGAUAAUUUCAUCAUCCCAUAAGAUCUCAUCCCUUUUGGGACUCCACCUCAUAACUAACCUGGCCUCUCUGACUGAAAGAUAAGGCCUUGGAUUCCAGUCCUUCAUUUAAGGAGAGAGCCUGGCUCAGACAAUGCUUCAUUUCUCACCUGAUUGCACUCCUUGGGGAAUUCUCUGAGUUCUCUACCAUGUCCCUACAUAGGGUACCUUCCCCACAAACUCGUUUUUCAGCUGCUGCUUCUGUUUUGUCUUCCUCUAUUAGCUUGUAAGCUCCAUGAGGUUAAGAACUGUCUUUUUCAUAU